CGCCCGAUUCUGCGCCAUGUUUAAAAUGUGUUCGCUCGGGGGCUGGCCGUCCGGGCCGGGGGGCCCUUCUAUAUGGCCGAGGGGGACAUCUGCAAGACUAGGCAAGCCACGCGCGGGGCCGAGAGAGCCCGCAAAAGGAAAAGGAACUGUAACUGUUUUCGGAAGAUAGAAGACGGCCUCCUAGCAACAAGAUAACACACAUUGCGAAACCGACACGAUAACAGAAGAAAGAACUGUAUAAAAUGGGACUGGAAGACCGUAACCGCGUGGCAGUGGGCGGAGUGCAGACUCUCCUGUUGCCCAGCGCUGCAUUUGCUUAUGCCCCGCUUGCUGUAAUUAAUAAAAUUCUAAUUGGGACUAAA